GACGGUAAACUAUGCCUGAGGAGGUCAAAGCCAGAGGAAACUCUGGUGUAGGUCUGUAGCGGUCCUGACAUGCAAAUCAGUUGUCCGACCCGGGUCUAGGGGUGAAAGAGUACCCUUU
rnacentral:ncRNA from 1 species